rnacentral:rRNA from 1 species
GUAGGUGAACUGCGGAAGGAUCAUUACCGAGUGUAGGGUUCCUAGCGAGCCCAACCUCCCACCCGUGUUUACUGUACCUUAGUUGCUUCGGCGGGCCCGCCAUUCAUGGCCGCCGGGGGCUCUCAGCCCCGGGCCCGCGCCCGCCGGAGACACCACGAACUCUGUCUGAUCUAGUGAAGUCUGAGUUGAUUGUAUCGCAAUCAGUUAAAACUUUCAACAAUGGAUCUCUUGGUUCCGGCAUCGAUGAAGAACGCAGCGAAAUGCGAUAACUAGUGUGAAUUGCAGAAUUCCGUGAAUCAUCGAGUCUUUGAACGCACAUUGCGCCCCCUGGUAUUCCGGGGGGCAUGCCUGUCCGAGCGUCAUUGCUGCCCAUCAAGCACGGCUUGUGUGUUGGGUCGUCGUCCCCUCUCCGGGGGGGACGGGCCCCAAAGGCAGCGGCGGCACCGCGUCCGAUCCUCGAGCGUAUGGGGCUUUGUCACCCGCUCUGUAGGCCCGGCCGGCGCUUGCCGAACGCAAAUCAAUCUUUUUCCAGGUUGACCUCGGAUCAGUAGGGAUACCCGCUGAACUUAAGCA